rnacentral:tRNA from 2 species
GGAGGCUUCGCCUAGUCUGGUCUAUGGCGCCGCACUGCUAAUGCGGUUGGGGGCAACCCCUCCCGGGUUCAAAUCCCGGAGCCUCCG